GAUGAACGCUGGCGGCGUGCCUAAUACAUGCAAGUCGAGCGGUAAGGCCCUUCGGGGUACACGAGCGGCGGACGGCUGAGUAACACGUAGGAACCUACCCCAAACUGAGGGAUAAGCACCAGAAAUGGUGUCUAAUACCGCAUGUGCUCUACGGAGUAAAGCUUCGGCGGUUUGGGAAGGGCCUGCGUCCGAUUAGCCAGUUGGUGGUAUAAAAGACUACCAAGGCGACGAUCGGUAGCUGGUCUGAGAGGAUGAUCAGCCAGACUGGGACUGAGACACGGCCCAGACUCCUACGGGAGGCAGCAGUAGGGAAUUUUCCACAAUGGGCGAAAGCCUGAUGGAGCAACGCCGCGUGCAGGAUGAAUGCCUUCGGGUUGUAAACUGCUUUUAUCUGUGACGAAUAUGACGGUAGCAGAUGAAUAAGGACCUGCUAACUACGUGCCAGCCGCCGCAGUAA
rnacentral:rRNA from 1 species